CAGGCACCUGUAUAUGAACCAUAUAGCAAAUUUGUUACAAAAAUGGCGCAAUAAGCUGAUUUUUAUAAGGUUGGUAAACGUAAACUCACCCCUGCUCCUUGAUAUUUCGGCACGAUAAGCAUAUGCCGGAGUCCGACUUGCCUGAAUAAAACCAUGGCUUUAGCCACUGACAUGCUUUCCACUACUGUGUAAGGUGUCGUGUUGGUGAGGGGAUGCAAAUCCAUAUACAUUUCCAUUUCGUCAUGUGCCACAGCGACCUGUUCGAUUUUUAGUUCCCUUUCGGAUAAUUCGACCCAGUUGAAUUUCUUUUGAACUUCCCAAUCAUCGGUUCGUCGUUUCUCG
rnacentral:lncRNA from 1 species